rfam:Oryza glumipatula chromosome 5, whole genome shotgun sequence.
UUUAAGUGCAAUCAUGAGUUUUCGUGCACAACUUUAAUCAUCCGUCUUAUUUAAAUUUUUUUAUAAUUAGCAUUUUUGUUAUUAUGAGAUGAUAAAACAUAAAUAAUACUUUUAUAUGUGACUUAUGCUUUUAUUUUUUUUAUCUUUUUCAAAUAAGACAGACGAUAAAAGUUGAGCACGAAAAAACAUGGCUGCACUUAAA